rnacentral:lncRNA from 1 species
CUGGAAGGAGUUAGGCUGAAUGGCUUGGCGUCAUGCUAGGGGUCAGGCUAGAUUACAUUAUGGUCCAGUACAUCAUCCUGUAUGUGCUUUACCUGAACAGAUAUGAAUGUAGACUUGAGAGAUGCAGUAGAGAAGAGAGGGGGAGGAGAGAGAUUCUCGUAGAUCUGUCUCUGCUGAGAAGUUCAACCAGCUUGUCCAUGAUCUAUUUUCUCUCAGACUCUGUCUGGCAUUACCAGGAAACUC